CUUGGAUAUCGAUAGUCUCACAUUUAUCUUCUUCACUAGAGAGUCGCUCCAAAGUACCAUCACCUUUAUCACAUGAUUUUGAAGUGAUUCAUGUCUGCACUCCUUGAAAUUUCCAUGUCUGAAUUCUUUGGCUAUUAGGACCAUUUGAUGAAUAAAAUGUAAGAUCUCAUUAAAUUUUAUAUCAAGUAAAGGAAAAGUCAUAGCACGUCUAAAA
rnacentral:lncRNA from 1 species